CCUAGUAGGUGUCCAGUAAGUG
rnacentral:miRNA from 1 species